rnacentral:rRNA from 1 species
UGGGGAAUAUUGCACAAUGGGCGCAAGCCUGAUGCAGCGACGCCGCGUGGAGGAUGAAGGCUUUCGAGUUGUAAACUCCUGUUAAGUGGGAAGAAAUACUCUGGGUUAAUACCCUGGGGGGAUGACGGUACCACUAGAGAAAGCACCGGCAAACUUCGUGCCAGCAGCCGCGGUAAUACGAAGGGUGCGAGCGUUAUUCGGAGUUACUGGGCGUAAAGAGCAUGUAGGCGGUUUGCUAAGUUAGUUGUUAAAUUCCAUGGCUUAACUAUGGACACGCAGCUAAUACUGGUGAGCUAGAGCAUAGAAGAGAGAAGUGGAAUUCCCGGAGUAGCGGUAAAAUGCGUAGAUCUCGGGAGGAACACCGGUUGCGAAGGCGGCUUCUUGGUCUAUUGCUGACGCUAAAGUGCGAAAGCGUGGGGAGCAAACA